AUUAAUGGUGCAUCUACAAGGAUUAUUAGACCUAGGUUUCAUACAACCUAGCGUAUCACCGUGGGGAGCAUCGGUCCUAUUCGUCAAGAAGAAAUAUGGUUCGCUAAGAAUGUGUAUUGAUUAUAAGGAAACUGAACAUGCUUACGAUAAAGAAUAGAUAUCCUCUUCCGAGGAUAGAUGAUCUGUUUAAUCAGCAGAAAGGAACCGGUGUCUUUUCCGAGAUUGACUGAUGGUCUGGUCACCAUCAGCUCAACAUGAAAAUGGAAGACAUUCCAAAUACAACAUUUCGAACACGUUACAGACAUUAUAAGCUCACGAUGAUACUUUUGGAUUAAUGAAUGCCCUAGCUGUUUUCAUGGAUAUGAUGAAUAGAGGAUUCUAUCUCGAUAGAUUCGUCUUAGUGUUAAUUGAUUAUAUCCCCAUAUACUUUAAGACUGAAGAACAACACGAAGAACACUUGUGCAUCGCACUCAAGACUUUGCGGAACAAGAGACUAUUCGCCAAAUUCAGCAAGUGUAAGUUUUGGUUGAAAGAAAUGAUGUUCUCGAUCACAUCGUGUCGACUGAAGGAAUCAAAGUGGACCCUGCCAAGGUCGAAGCAACCAAGGAAUGAAGACACCAUUUAACGUCAAUGAGAUCAGGAGUUUCCUCGAUCUAGCAAGUUACUACAGAAGAUUUAUCGAAGGAUUCUCGAAAUUGGCUAGGCCAAUGACUCAACUUUUGAGAAAAAGGGACUAAGUAUGUUUGGUCUGAAGCUUGUGAACAAAGUUUUAAGAAACUCAAGACGAGGCUAACUACUGCACCAGUGUUAGCAAUACCAGAAGAAAAUGAAGGAUUCGUGGUGUACACUGAUGCCUCGAAACUAGGAUUGGGUUGCGUGUUGAUGCAAAAUCAGAAAGUGAUAGCAUACGCGUCUCGUCAACUGAAGCCCCAUGAGCUGAACUACCCAACUCAUGAUUUAGAGCUUGCUACCGUCGUGCACGCGCUGAAAAUUUGGAGACACUACCUCUAUGGAGUUAAGUGUGAGAUAUUUACAUAUCAUAAGAGUUUGAAGUACUUCUUCAAGCAAAAGGAUUUGAACGUCAGACAACAAGGAUAGCUGGAUUUAGUAAAGAAUUACGACUGCACCAUCAAUUACCAUCUUGAGAAAGCAAACGUGGUGGCAGACGCCCUGAGUCGAAAGACCAGAGAAAAACUUGAAUAUCUUAUUACUCAACAGGAGAAGUUAGUACGUGAUUUGGUUGCACUUAAUUUGAAAAUAGUACACCCCCAAACACCAUAUUAAGCUGCAUAGCUGCCCUAGAAUUAUCCCAGAUCUGCGAACCAGAAUCAUUGAGGCCCAAAGAAAAGAUUGGUUUUUGAAAAAAGAUGCGACUCGCAGCAAGAUCAAGCGAACCCAAGGGAUUCACAGAAGAUAAGGAUAAUGCCUUGAAGUUUGAAAACAGACUAUGAGUGCCACACAACGAAGGGCUGAAGAAUGAGAUUAUGAGUGAAGCACACGACACGCCAUAUAUAGCCCACCCGGGGAGCACGAAGAUUUAUCAAGACUUGAAGAAAAUAUUCUGGUGGAAAGGAAUGAAGAGAGAUAUAGCACUAUUCGUAGAACGGUACCCUGCAUGCCAACAAGUCAAAGCACUACACCAGAAACCCUAUGGGACAUUGCAACCACUACCAAUCCCCGAAUAGAAGUGGGAGCAUAUCAACAUGAAUUUUGUGGUAAGCUUACCACGAUCAGCGCGUGGAAACAAUGCCAUUUGGGUGAUUGUAGAUCGCCUGUCGAAGUUAGCGCACUUCCUUCCCAUACAAAUGACCUUUGGGAUGGAAAAGCUUGCAAAGUUAUAUGUCAAGGAAAUUGUGCGCCUUCACGGUGUACCAGUAUCAAUCACAUCUGAUCGUGAUUCCAGAUUCACGUUAAGAUUUUGAAGGAGCUUGCAAGAAGCUAUGGGCAUCAAACUAAACUUCAGCACGACCUACCACCUCCAAACAGACGGCCAAUCGGAGCGAACAAUUCAAAUAUUAGAAGACAUGAUUCGAGCAAUUGUUGCAGACAAAGGUGGAAAUUAGGAGGACUUACUACCUCUCGUAGAAUUUGCCUACAAUAACAGCUACCAGACAACAAUUGGAAUGACCCCUUACGAGGCACUAUAUGGGCGAAAAUGCAGAUCGCCACUUUACUGGGAUGAAGUAGGCGAACGAAGGCUGUUAGGAUCAGAACUAGUUCAGCAGAUGAUCGAAGAAGUUGACCAGAUUAAGCAAAAGAUCAAAGAAGCACAAGAUAGAUAACAAUCAUAUACUGAUACACGAAGAACUGAACUAGAGUUCAAUGUUGGGGAUUGACUCUUUCUCAAAAUUUCCCCUACAAAAGGAGUUAUUCGUUUUGAAAGUAGAGGUGAAUUAAGACCCCACUAUAUAGGACCUUUUGAGAUCCUAGAUAGAGUCGGAAUGCAGCCUAUAGGUUGGCAAUACCACCUAGCAUUGGGAACAUGCACAAUGUGUUUCACGUUUCGCAAUUACGAAAGUAUGUGUUUGGUCCAAAACACGUAAUAAAGAAUGAUGAAUUAGUUCUAGCCCAAGAUCUGAGCUAUAAAGAGAAUCUCGUACAAAUACUUGAUCGAAAGAUUCAAGUUUUAAGAAACAAGCAAAUUCCCUUGGUUAAAGUGCUUUGACACCACCAUGGGGUAGAAGAAGCAACGUGGAAACUGGAAGAGAAGAAGAAACCUCAAUACCCCGAAUUAGACUACCAAGGUAUGUAAAUUUCGGGGACGAAAUUUUUUUAAGGGGGGAGGUAUGUGACAUCCCGUCCUUUUCAUAGGAAAUAUUGAAGACCUUUAAUAUUAAAAUACUAUUGAUACACGCCCGGUAUUUAAUAAAUUAUAUUAUUUUAAAGAGAUUUUAUAAAUUGAAGUUCAUUACUAUUAUUUUAUUGAUCAAAUGCCUUGAGCCGUUAUUAAGGUAUAUGAAAAAUAUUUUCACAAGUAUUUAUUUAUUUUUCCAUUCUAUUUAGUUAUUUAUCUAUUUAUUGGGCCUCAAGCCCAAUAAUAUAUAUUUGUGAGUUAUUAAAUUUUCUUGGGCCUCCAACCCAAAAUUAUGUGAGAUCAAUAGUGGCCCAAACCCAAAAUUUGGAUGUCAGUGUGAGAGGCUGAGUGACGAGCAGCGAGAAUUGAUACAUUUUUCUUUUUCCCCAAGAAUUCUACAGUGUCGAUUAUUAUUUUUUUUUCAAAAGCUUUGGCUUAUUUUCAGCCACACCACCUUAUUGUUUAGUUAAGAUUCGCCACACCCACAAACAUUCCCCAUCCACGCACUUUCUAAUCUCACCCAUUCAAUUUUUCUUUCGUUCAAUUACUUUUCAACCUGCAGAAAUGAGCUUCACUUUUUAUCGGAUGAAAUCAACAACAGCAUCUGUCAAUAUUUCAUUUCCUUAUAACUUCAAAGUUUCAGACACACAAAAUACCAAAAAUCAAAUCUUUACUUCUAAAAUUUCUCAUCUUUUACAUCUGAAUUCCUUUCCUUUUGUUCCUCCGGUGAGUGAGAGUCGAGGAUUCGAUGAGAGGGAAGAGUGGGGCUGUCCGAGCUUGACGCGGGCUGUCAAGGCCGCGGCUGCCGGCGCUGCAUGCGUGGCAGCAGCCCGCCGGCCACUCGCGGCGAAGGCAGACAGACUCGGAGCAAGGCGGCGAAGUCCCGGGCGGCUGAACGAGGUGGCGCGGCCGGAGGCCAGGCGCCACUAACGCGGCCGAGAACGGAGCAGCAGCAGCAGCAGCAGUGAUGGCGGCGCUCCUUCCUUGGCCGUCUGCUGUCGGGUACGCAAGAAAGAGAGAUAGGGGCAGAUGGGAGGUGGUGAGCGAGAUGGUAUGGUGAGAGAGGGAAGGCGUUGGGUGAGGGAGGCGUCGGAGCCGGCGAUUCUCGCCGGGGUUGGAGCAGGCGGUGGAUCUGUGGAGGGAGAAGAGGCGUGAGAUGGAAAGAGAGAGAGAAAGAGGGUGAUGGCAGAGGCGGACUCCGGUGGUGGUUUCCCCGGGUAGCGGCGGCGGCGGCGGAAAUUCUGGGAGGAAGGGAGAGAGACGGUGAGUUCUGAGAGAAAAGGGGGAGAACCGUAUGAGGGAGAAAGUGAGAGAUGUGUCUUUUUGUUUUUAUUUUUCUUAUGUUUAGAUUCUUGUAGGUUCGGGUGACUAAGGGCAGUGAAGCUUCAAGCGAGCCAAGUAUCGAAUCUCCACUUUGAGGUUGAUUGGUUGGUGCGGACGGAGCUGAGGCUAGGGUUCCACGCUGUCUUUUGCUUCCGCUAAACGAUUAGCUUGCUAUCUUGUCUUUCAAUCUCCUAAACUAAGAACUUCUAUUAUAUGGUAAAAUAUUAUCUCGUUGAGCUUAGACCCUUAAUUCGUAUUUCAAUUAAUGAAGCCAUCAUUGAUUGUGAUCA